GCCACUUUCUUCUUCUUCAUUUCAUUUUUCCUUUUUCUUUCUCUUUUCUUCUCCUUUCUCACGCACCCACCAGCCUCCUUCUACCUUUCAUUUUAUUUCUUCUUCCUUUCUUUCUCUCUUCUCCCCAUUUCUUCUUGAUUUUUCUGCACACCAGCCCGGGAGAGAAAGUGAGAGGCUGAGAUGAGAGGAGAGACCCGAGUAGGACCCGGUACCUCUGGAGGUCCGGCCGGCGGCUGUUCAACGAUGGUCGGCGCCGGCAAAGCUAAUGGUUCGAAUUCCGGCGGAUUGGAGGUGCGAAAUCCGAUGAACUUCCGGUGGUUUUUGAGCUCUGUUUUAAUAGGAUAGUGUCCGGAUUGGAGACUUAAAUGGGUCCUCUAAUGUAGAGUUCGAGUCAUGAGUCCAAUGCAGCCAAUAUGAUGUUUCUUUGGCUGCAGGUAUUCCGGUCGUAGUAUAUGGUGUUGUAGAAGUAUACUGAGAAUAUUAUGACUGAAGCUCAACGCGACGGUUGUAAUGUGUUAGACCGCGGAAUGUCUAUUCCUUUAGGUAUUUUGAUUAUGGCUUGUGACGCUUGUGCCACAUGAUCUUUGUUAAGCCAUUUAUGUUUUGUAUUUAAUUCAAGGAAAGAUUUAAUCAUAUAGUUAUUUAAUGGCUCUUUGUUGUAAUUAUUUGUGAUAGAUGUAUAAGAUGUGAUUUCCGCUAUUAGGUUAUGUUUUCCGCUGCAUAGUUGAUAGAUGUUAUACUCUGAUUUGCUAGGUACAUAUUAUGGAGUAUGUACACAUGUUGGCUUUGCGACAUAUCGUCGUGCCACUGUGAAGAUCCGUUUAUAUUUUAAGGAAUUAAUGAUUAUGUGAAUGUUUUGUAUAAAAAAAAAAAAAAAAAGGGGUCGUCACAGGAGCUUUCUCUAUAGAUAAGUGUUUGAGCAGCAGCCGAGACCUAUUUGAACUGGUAUAAUUUGGACAAGUGACUAUUAGAAUGUCCUUAUCUAGCCCACCUGUCCAGACAUGUUCGAAUAACCAUUUUAAUACCAAAAUUAUGUCGUUUUGGAUUAAGUAUAUGUUAUGUUUACAUUAGUUUGGUUGGCUAUGUUGAAUUCUUUUGUAACACUUGACAAAAAGACAAAAGUAAUGUAAAAUUGUAAGGACCAAGAAAAUAAAUAGGGAGUUUAGCAUUUUAUAAUUUAUAUUUUAUUAAAUUGAUGGGACUAAUAAUAAAUCCUAAGUAGAUAAAAUGCUAUGAUUGGAAUAAAAUGGAUUUAAGAGAAAGUAAUAUAAUUUGAAUAAUAAAAUACUAAUGAGUCAUUGGGUAAUAAAUAAUUAAUUGUACGGGUAUAAUAUAGUUAUAUUAAAUGUUAGGGUUUGAUAUUAAUUUUUAAAUGAUAGAAAUAUUAUAUGGUGGGGGUCCUGAUGUAAUUAAUGGAAGUUGAAGUUUUUAUUAAUAAAGAGAAUCUAUCCCUGUCACGUGGCUUUACCCAAUUGGCUGGAGUGGAUUUCACUAUUUCCCCCAACCACUCACAAGGUGCCACGUGUCCCUUAUCAUUUUCUUUUCCUCCCUCUUCCUCCCUCACGCACGGAUCCUUCUCCUUCUUCCUUUUCCUUCUUCCUUCUCUUUUCUUCUUCUUUCUUCGGUCUUCUUCUUCGCAUGCCCGAACGACCCACAGAGAGAGGUGCCGAGAGACUGAGGAGAGAUCGGAGAGAGAGUUUCAGAGGGAGACCGAGAGACUCGGAGUGAGAGAGAGAGAGAGACGAGAUGAGACAGAGAGAGGGGGAGAGUCAGAGAUCGGGAGAGAGUGAACCGGCGAGCCCGGAACCCAGGGAACGCGGGCGACUCGAUUUUCGGCCGAUGCUACCGGUGGAUCUACUCCGGUGGUGCCUAGGACGCGAGACCCGACGAACCCAGGAGCUUGGACCCGCGACCCGUGAGCCAAACCCGAUGAAUUCGGGAGAACCUGUGUGACCCGACCCUUCCGGAGGUCUGAUCCUCCACGUCCGGCAGUCCCGGUAGCUGUUUCUGGUGAGCCCGUGACCCGUGUGUGCAACCCAGCCGAACCCCGAAGCCCCGUGACCUAGAACCCGAACCUAUGACCCGCUGAACCCGGAAGAAGACCCGGUUUUAUAGGUGUUUUCCGACGGUUUUCUGGCGACUGCCAGUGGCGUUUUCCGGCAGAUUUAUUGAGGAAAAUCCCCAAGGAUCAUGUUCGGAUUGGAGACUUUAAUUGGUUCUCCAAUGUAGAGUCCAAGUGACUAGAGUCCAAGGAGUGUUCGAGUUGGAGUCCAAUGCAGCCAAGAUGAUGUUUCUUUGGCUGCAGGUACUUCGGUAUAGUCGAUGGGUCGGUAGCAGUGUGCUUGGGAUAUUAUGACUGAAGCUCGCCGCGACAGUUGUAAUUGUCGGACCACGGGUUGUCCACUAUUUUAUAGGUUUGGUAUGGCUUGUGACGUUUGUGUCACUUAUUCUUUGUUAAGCCAUUAUUGUUAUAGUGUUAAUAAGACUCAAACAGAUAGAUGUUAAAUGGCUCUUUGUUGUAAUUAACUUGUGAUAGAUGUAUAAGUUGUAAUUUCCGCUAUUCAGAUUUAUGUUUUCCGCUGCA